rnacentral:misc_RNA from 1 species
AGCAGCCGCGGUAAUUCCAGCUCCAAUAGCGUAUAUUAAAGUUGUUGCAGUUAAAAGCUCGUAGUUGAAUUUCGGGAUCAGUUGGUCGGUCGUGCCUCGGUACGUACUGGUCAAAUUGAUUCCUACCUUCUGACGAACCACGAUGUCAUUAAUUUGGUGUCGUGGGAAAUCAGGACUGUUACUUUGAAAAAUUAGAGUGUUUAAAGCAGGCUCGCGCUUGAAUACAUUAGCAUGGAAUAAUGAAAUAGGACGUUUGAUUCUAUUUUGUUGGUUUCUAGGAUCGACGUAAUGAUUAAUAGGGAUAGUUGGGGGCAUUAGUAUUCAAUUGUCAGAGGUGAAAUUCUUGGAUUUAUUGAAGACUAACUACUGCGAAAGCAUUUGCCAAGGAUGUUUUCAUUAAUCAAGAACGAAAGUUAGGGAUCGAAGACGAUCAGAUACCGUCGUAGUCU